GGAGCAGUCAGGGCGCUGGUUGCUGUGAAGAGGGCGGAGGGGCGGGGGCGAGGGCGGUGCAGGCGGAAGGACGAGCCGGGAAGAGCGGAAAAAUCGGCCGAUGGUGCCGCUGCCUCAGUUCUGCCCGCUUCUGUAGCCUCCUUGCUGGGUACAGCGGAGCAGAAAAAGCCUUAAUGUUCCCUCCCACUCCCCCAGUAAGAAGCUAGCGCUGAAACGUGGGAGGCGUGGUAGCCACCGACAUUUAAUGCCUCUCUCCCGCUCGAUUUCUGAAGGUUCUGCGGCCUGGAGACGGCAUCGCGGGCACGCUUCAACUGUAGGGGACGGUAUUCUGAACAGGCAAGAGCCUGUGACUCGGGGGUGGUCCCUCCGCACCUUCAGAUGAGAAGCUGAAGACAUACAGCUCCAGCCUGACGUCCGUGGGGGGUACACCAAAGCCCCCGAUGUGGCCAGAGGUAACCCAAUAGGCUCCCCCGUUACGCCAGAUUAUCCCUGGAGAAUUCACUCUCCACCACGUGAAAGGAAGAGACGAAAAGUUUGGGGACUCGAUAUAAGUCGGGAAGAAGCAGCUGGUCAGCUCUUUGCAUGCUUUGAGUCUAAUUACACAGAGCACAAAUCCAUUGCCCAUGAAGAAAAGGAACACUAGAAUGAGCCCUCUGAAAAAACCCAGUCUGAGUUCCUGGAAGGAAGGACACAGUGUCUCAUUGGAUUGUGCAGCCUCAGAGCCUAGUUCAGUGUCUGGCUCAUAUUUAUAUAUCAGCUGCACAGUUACAUAACACAAAAGGAAUUGGCCAUGGGGGCCGGGGUUAAUCCCUGUGCCUGAAGAGUGUCAUAUUGAAAGAAGCCUGAUUCAAUAGCCUAAGCUGUUUGGAAGCUUUUGUUCACCAAAUGCCUGCGAUUCUCCCAACACACCAUUCUCGUGGUACUCCAAGUGCAGAGGAUUGAGUGGAUCAGGUCCCUCAGCUCAUUGCAUCCUGUACUAUCAUCAUCACUUGUCCAUUCAGGGUCUCUCUCUUAAUUUAUUUAUUGCUUUCAUCCCCAUAACCACUUCCCGUAAUAGGCAAUCGUUCUAAUGUUUUUAACAUGUGUCUCCUAUUUUGUCCCCUGUUCACUUAGUCGUGAUGUCUCUGGUUGAACAAAAGUCCUUAAAUUUAAUGUAAUCAGACCCACCAACUUUGGGCCUUAUGGCUGGUGCUUUUGAAGUUAAAAACUUUUUUCCUGCCACAAAGGCGAGAGUCUACAUCUUCAAUAAACUUCAUAGCAUUACCUUUCACUUUUGGGCCCUUUAUCCAUUUGGAAUCUAUCUUUCGUGUGUAGUGUUGAGAUCUAUCUGUAUUUAUCUAGUUAACCAGGUUCCCAGAACCAUCUGUUAAGCCAUUCUUUUC
rnacentral:lncRNA from 1 species